rnacentral:lncRNA from 1 species
CCAGUCGACCAGCUAACAUCUCAUCUUGUAGCACUAGUUGUGUUCCUUUGGUCCCAGGUGGUACCCCUUUGGAUCCAGAGCAUUCAUCAGACAAAAGGGCGAUUGGUCUCCAAAAAAUUUCUGUCUCAAGUCUGUCUCCUCGGCAAAAUUCUCGACAGCAAUCUGUGUCCUCUUUCUGUGAUAAAUCUAUGGCUAGUUCUGACCAGAUAGCUGAAAAAGCAAAACAACAUUUGUUCUCCAAAGGAUUAGUGAGUUGCAGCGUGAUGGUCUGUGGGCGGAGAACGGUUACCAAAAGUUUCAGAACCUCAACGAGUCAAAGCUCACUGGGAUUAUUUGCUAGAGGAGAUGGUCUGGUUAGCAGCUGAUUUUGCUCAAGAGCGCAAGUGAAGAAAGCUGCAGCUAAAAAAAGUAAAUCUCAAUAAACGUUUUUUCUAAAUUUCAGAACUAUUUCUCGAGAGUAAUGAAGAAAUAUGUAUAAGAAAGAAAAAUUAAAUAUCUAAUUCUUUCUUUCUUAUACAUGUUUCUUUGAAAUUAUUCGAAGGGAA